ACAAAUGACUCUCGGCAACGGAUAUCUCGGCUCACGCAUCGAUGAAGAACGUAGCAAAAUGCGAUACUUGGUGUGAAUUGCAGAAUCCCGUGAACCAUCGAGUUUUUGAACGCAAGUUGCGCCCGAAGCCAUUCGGCCGAGGGCACGUCUGCCUGGGCGUCACGCA
rnacentral:rRNA from 1 species